rnacentral:rRNA from 1 species
CUGAUGCAGCAACGCCGCGUGAGGGAUGACGGCCUUCGGGUUGUAAACCUCUUUUACCAGGGAAGAAGCGAAAGUGACGGUACCUGCAGAAGAAGCGCCGGCUAACUACGUGCCAGCAGCCGCGGUAAUACGUAGGGCGCAAGCGUUAUCCGGAAUUAUUGGGCGUAAAGAGCUCGUAAGCGGUUUGUCCCGUCUGCUGUGAAAUCCCGAGGCUCAACCUCUGGCCUGCAUUGGGUACGGGCAGACUAUAGUGCGGGAGGGGAAAUUGGAAUUCCUGGUGUAACGGUGGAAUGCCCAAAUAUCAGGAAGAACACCGAUGGCGAAAGGAGAUCUCUGGGCCGUUACUGACGCUGAAGAACGAAAGGGUGGGGAACAAACAGGCUUAAAUACCCUGGUAGUCCACCCCGUAAACGUUGGGAACUAAUUGUGGGGUCCAUUCCACGGAUUCCGUGACGCAGCUAACGCAUUAAGUUCCCCGCCUGGGGAGUACGGCCGCAAGGCUAAAACUCAAAGAAAUUGACGGG